rnacentral:lncRNA from 1 species
CACUUUACCUUACAGACCUCCUCCUUAAGACAGAUCUAAAACUCCUGUCCAGAUCCAGACCCAGCAGCCUUAAAAAUGAAUAUAGGCUGGUUGAAAGGUUUAGCAACACCAGGCUAGGACUACAAACUAUGUCCAACCGUAGGGUGACCAGAUGUCCUCGUUUUGCUGUGACAAUCCCCGUUUUGAAUGACCCGAUCCUGGCUAAAGCUGUCCACGGAAAUGUCCCAGAUUUCAGCAUUUCAUGAACAAGAAAAAAGUGUAGACUAGAACAACGGUUAUCAUGAUAUGAUGUGCGCAGUCCCGAACAACAGUUUUUGGGGUUAGGGUUACGCGCUACCACAAAGUAGCCGAUUACCCCCCCACACACACACACACACAUGUCCCUGGAUCGUAGCUGUAAAUCCUCCCUAAACUCCCUACAGCUGGACACACAUUCACCCCCCUCCUCCCACACACACAGUGUACUGCACAUACUGUACAUGUCAUCCCCGCUAAUUCAUUCCUCACCCUUGCCAUUGUUUCACACCACAAUUAGCCACGCUUUGUUUGUGCUAAAUGCAUUUUUCUGACGUGUUCAAUUAGGAAAUAUUGCCACACAAAAAUAAGUAAUUAGAGGACGAAGAUGAGAAGCCUGAGAUCUAUCACAGCAGCAUAAUUGGUGUAAUUUAGUCUGGUUUGUAUCAUAAAGCUUCAGGGUGAUACAGGUAACAAAUAGAUUAAUUGUGUGAUUACUCCAUCUGAUUCAAUUCGUCUCAGUUAGUAGCGCUUCUUUGUUAUGUUUCCUUUUCCGAAAUGAGACUUCAGGCUGUAAACUGUCAGGUAAUCUGUAUUUUUAGAGUACUUCUUCAAAUCUGUCUGAAAUUCUUGGGCUGAAAAUGUUCUAAUUUAUCGCAGCGCUCCCUCACAUCGUACCUCUCAGCCAUCUGUGUGCUCUGAUAUCGCUGUCACUUCACUCGUUUUGUAGAUGGAUGACAAAGAUAUUCACAUGAGACAUACAGAGUGUACACCUGAAUAUUCACACCCUGUCUGAUUAUACAGCUCUCUCCCUCAUGCUGUGAGCAGCAAAGUUCCUUUGCAAACUUAAUGAACGACAGGCUUUGCGUAUUGUAAGGGCUUCACCUCUCCUUGCUUGUUACCUCUGGCUAUCCUCUGAAGCUCAGAGUUCAGGACCGGCCAAUUUAGAUCCAAACGGCAGUGACAUCCUCUGACCACAAUCUUACCCGGCAAAGACGCUCUGUAUGCCAGAGGAAGAGGAUUGCGUGGGUGGGAGCGUGUAUGUGUGCUCUCCGGGUAUUUCACAGACACGAGGAGGAAGAGAAGCGCGUGGAGAGAGACAAACAGAGCGCCAGGAGUGUGAAUAGUGACAGCAAAAAUUUAAAAAUGUCAGCGUGAAAAGUUUGCUGUGUGAUUAUGUCUGUGUGCAUGCAGAUUAGAGAGAAAGCGGUGAAUGAUUGAGCCGCUGCAGACAAAAAAAAAAGCAUCCAGAUUCAUGCUGUGUGAGAUAGCAGGAUUACUAAUGGAUUUUCCUCAUAGAGAGCCAGCAACUAAUGAGGAAGCGGGCAGAGAGAGGGCAAGCGGCGGGUCGGACGAGGAGGUCACUGGGAGGGAUGAUUGCUAUGCAGGUUGCAGGUAUAAGGGGGCCGGGAUCAGUGCACUGGAUUUGAUGGUGUGAAGGCAAUCUAAUGAGCUACACACCGCACGUAACUUUUCUUAUAUCCAUGAUGGCAGUUUUUCCCUGCUAAUGGUUGUUUUACUUCAGUGGAGAGCACUUUGGCGGUGUUAACGCCAGAACAAAGUGAACGAGAGGAGGACUUAAACAGGGAUUAUUUUUGAGGCAAUGGUUUGACAGCGUUCCCCCACGGUGUGAAUGUUGUUUUCUGGGUCACUUUGUCUCAUUACUUAACUAGUCAAGCACUCAGAGAGAGAGGACACCUUCACCAGCAGCAUCAGUGAUAUCCACAUGCCCAAACACUCAUACCACUAUUAUCAAGCUUUCCCUCGGUUCAUGCUUCACCUUCUCACUAAGUUUUGUGAAAAUUCGGCAACAAAUGAGCAACAGCAAAUCCGUGUUGCUUUGUGGUUUCAUUUUUAGACGAGUUUAAACAUGAGUUCGGAGUUAACGAGCAUGGCACACUAAGGGAGCCAACCAUUGCAAGCUGCUUAACUGGGACAUCCACUGGGGCAGCAACUUAAUUUCAAAUCCUCGCCUCAUUAGUUUUAUCAUGGUAUGAUUUAUCAACAUGCUGCUUACACAUUUGUGUCGUUGUCACCAAUCACAAAGUAGUUUUUCGAUUUCUGACAUCCAUCGAGGUUCAGUUUGGACCUCUUUGGUCAAGAGAAUUGCAUGCAUUAGUCAUUUGGCUUCAUUAUGUUCUUCUACGUGCUUACAUGGAAAGCCAAAGCCAACAGCGGGGAGAACACAUCUCCCAUUCAUGAAAAAGUCAAGACAGGGAGAGUUGCAGAAAUCCAGAUAUGACUCAACAAGUCCGAAAGCAAGCUGGGGCAGUAUAAAUAAGAUGCCCUUUCUGGUGUUUGCCAGCCAGAUAGGAGGAGGAGGGUUAUUAACUGAGCUGCCAGUUGGUUGUAGCUGGUGUUAGGAUCAGCUGAUGCACUGCGAGCUGAGCAACAAGUCAUGGCAGUGAAACAAGGAGAUUAUAGACUGAGGUGUAGAACUGAUCACUAAAGUGCCAUAGUUUUACGCCAAAAACAUGCAGGAUCCGUAUUGAGCCUGUUCCAUAUUCUGCAGCAUUAGGUAUCGUAUAUAGGAUAGGUAUUUGGAGCGUGGCGGCAGCGUACUGCAGCCCCGGUCAGCCGGACUCAGUAAAGUGGAAACAACAAUUAACAGCUUCGGUUGUUGCAGGUUUUUUCGUGUUAAAUAAAGUUAACUAUGUUCCUUUAUGGUGUGCUGGUACCCUCAGACAGAGUUAGCAGUUCAAAGUCCUGUUGGGGUCCACAUGGAUCAGGGAUUGACCAUCAGAUUGUUCUGUGUUACUGAUAAAUCCAUAACCAGGAAGUAUUUCUCAUCCACACGAACUGAUACACAGUUGGAAGUUUGCACAUGGUGUUUUAUUUUUAACUACCGGAUGACAUACGUUGUUUUUGUGCUUGAUUUCCUGUCUAGACUCACCGCGUAUCUUUAGCAUUGCUGCUCUCGAUACGAUGCUGCGACGGAGCUGAUAUUCGUCCUGUAUGCUUUGCUGGAUUGAUUAGAAUGGGAACCUAUUUGCUGUGUGAUACGCAACACUGCUGCCACGCUUCAAAUACGCAUCCUGUAUGUUUUAGCCUUUGGUGUUCAAUGUCCUCAACACAAAACACCCUCUACGUCGAGUGAUUUUGGGCGCGUCUCUCUCAAUUGAAAAAAGUACACUUUUUGAGCACCCUUGCUUAUCGAUUCAGACCAAUCAGAAUGAAGAAUGGAAGGAAGGGCGGGACCUCCGAUAACCUCUAACAGAGGUGAAUUCAGCGGAUAAGGUGACCGCUUGUUUUUUGAGGCACAGCUCCCAGACUUAGAGCUGCUACUAAUGACACAGUUUCUAUCAACUGUUUUUUGGUGGCUUUGCAAAGUGCUAUUGAAUGAAAGCUAAUUAGUAGCAUAUAAAGCGUUUUAAAACAGACCCGACUGCCUCUAAGGGAAGUGGAAUUGCUGCGGGGCAAUUUUCAUAACCUGGCAACAGUAAACGCCAGUGAAAAGGGCUUUGAAAUUGAGGUUGUGGGCACUGCCAGCAUUAAAAAAAAUAACAUCAUGGUGGACACGGCCUCUUAUUGUGCAUGAAAAUUGUGUGCUCAACAGUCAUCAGAAUGACAGGAUAACUUACAAAGAGGAUAUUUGUGUAGGUCAUCUUUUCUCUUCUGAACAACUUUCUCACUUUGUUUUUAAAGAUGCUACUGCAAAACUGCAUCGCUGCAAUUAAGUUUGUGAAUAAAUCCAAAGAAAGGGUGAUAAUAAAUGCAAAAAAUAAACCACUGGUUUUAUGGAAAGUAAUUUCCCCUGAGGAAAUCCGGGCCACAGAAUAAGUCGCUCAGUUGUCCCGAGUGUAACAGCUCUAAAUCUCAGCCCCGGACUGAGGAGUAGAGGGAGGUUUGUAACAGCAGGCAGAGAGCAGUGUGUAGCCUGGAGACCUUGUUAGCCUCUCCCCUCUGAUCAAUGGAGAAUGACAAUGCCAGGGGCUACGCAUGCUCCCAUGGGUGCGGCAGUCAGCCAGCGCAUGCCAUGAGCACUACCCACCCAAAACAGAUACCGUGUCAGAGACCAGCAGAAACACUGAGAGCUGCUCAGACCUUCAUGUUAAAGCUCUGAGAUGUCAUGUUUUAUGCUCCUUUGUUUGCGUGUAAGUGUACAGUAUGUAUGUGAAUCUAAACCAUGCAGAGCAGAUGUCAGGAUAUGUUAUCAAAAAUCUAAAUGGUGCUUCACAUCAUUUAAAGGGAGGAAAUAUGGUGCCAUGCAUGCACACAGAACAGCCUUUACAUAUAUUACAGUAUAAUAUGUGAACAUUAAGGCUUUAAGCAACACUGUAGGCAGGAAAGUUCAUCCUUCAUCCCUUAGAGAUAUGGAGUUAGAGGGUUUUCUGUGCUAGCUUGCCCUCUAGCUGUAGUUUGAGGAAGAUAUGACAGGCAGAGUGAUUAAUACUAUUUCAUAUUGAGAAAAUAAAUAAUGACUUUCAAGUGUUUUAUUUUUUGUUUGAUAUCAUGUAGAUAAGGGUCUACAAGGUGAUGUGCCAAAAGAUGUUAUUUCUGCAGCAGAGCCAAGGUCACUUCUUCAGUCAGGAUUUAUUUUUAAACCCUCGUCUGUUUGACUCUGCUUUGGGCGCGUUGGGUCAAUUAUUUGAGACUGAUAAAGAAGGGUAGUGAUUGCUUGAUCCACUGAAAUCCUAACCAAUUAAAAGAAGAUUUUGUGCUUUUAAUCUGCACCACUGAGCAAAAUGUGAUGUAUUUUUCAUUUUUUUGUUCAACAAAGGUUAUGUUGAGGUUGCGAUCGCUUCAGAAGAAAGCGAGAAUUUAUUGAAUAAACAUCGGCACAAGUCCAUGAUUACUUUAGCGAAGUCAACUAAAUCUCAAGUAGAAUAAAUAAAUGUUUUUGGUUUGUCCUUCAUUCAAAGAUAAAGUCAGAAAUAAUCUAAACUAAGCCUGUAAUCAGUGCAUUUAGUCAUCAUUCUUACACUAUUUAUAUUUAAUGCCUGUCAGAUGUUUAGAGGGUUGGAUAAAAUCCAGUGGAUGUUUCACACGUUGUAUAUUUACAUAAAAUUAACUUUGCCAAUUUUGCAUCUAGAUGAGAAUUUAAGUGCUUUGGACAGGGUCAGGACAUGUGGGUUGUUGCAGCAUCAAGCGUGCGUCAUUAUGACAGGCCGAGCUGCAGCAGUCUGAGAGACACAGGUUAAUUAGUCGGAUUCCUCGCCAUUGUCGCCCUGCACCAGCGACUAAUUUAAUGGCUUUAUUACUGCGGCUUUCUGCCUAAUUAAAUUGCUCUAAUCUUAUUUGCAAAGUAUCCCAAGGUGAAAGUUCAAGGUGUUCCCGUGAACUCGGAGUUUGUCGCAAAGGUGACUUGGAAGACGCGGAUACUCGAGAGCUGAGUGUCUAUCUGGAUGUUAAUAAACCAACAGAUGAGAUCAUGAGUUCAUCACGUGAGAACCGCACAACAGAAAUAAUCUGGUCUUAUUUUUCGGAGUGGUUAACGCCACCACAAAAGCUCUCACAGUUAGACAACAGGAAGUAAAUACAUGUCAUGGCAGAAGACGAUAAUGCUUUAGAGACCACAAUCAAGCAGUUCGGCUGACAAAUGCUCAACAAGACAAAGUAAAAUUAAAAGCAACCAGUGACAGUGUUUAUCCCUCUGGCACAAGCAGCGCUGCUCCGUCCCUGAGAGACUGUUCAGUUGGUUGACUCCUCCUGCAAGUGGUGACAGAAGCCCCUGUCAGACAGACCAUCACUCUCUGUAAUAGUGUCUCCAGCUCAACGGUGCUCCUGCGUUCAGCUCGCAGGAAGCAGAGCUGCAUUACAAGCCCGAGAGAUCUGAACAUAUGCAGAAACAGGCUGACAGCCUGGCUUUUUAUUAACACGGGUGAUUAGCAUAUAGCCGCUGUAGGAUGCUCAGAUUUUUUUCACCUGUUUAACUUCAGACAAGAAGACGGCAGGUUGAUUGAAGGUCCUCUAUUAUGAAAAAUCCCCUAUUGGGCGGUUUUCUACCAAUAAUGUGCAUCUCCUCGAAGCCGACAGCCCCCGACAUAAAAAAUUUAAUUCUCUUCCACUCCUUUCUGAAAACAAGUGCGCAAACAGGUGGAUGGAAGAGCUGUGCAGGUGUGACAACAUAACCACAUAAGCCUCUCCUACAUGUUGGUUGCACGGCCCCGAUAAUCGUUUGCCCAGCCCUCUAAAACUUCUUAGCUGAGGUUGCGUCUGCCAUUUUUUCCCUUCACAUAAGCCGCUCUGGUACAGCAAUACCAGGCCCCAAUGGAUUAAUUUUAUUUAACAACUCCAGAAAUGUUGUAUGUGUGCUAACCAUUUUACCACGGAUGGGUUUACCAAAGAGGGGGUGUUAAAAGCAGGAUUUGCUAAGAAGCUGAAGAUAAAACCUGAGUCCAUAGCGACUGUCGGUGUCAGGGACCAAACUUCAAACAUGGAAGCUGUAAGUUUUACCAUUUUAUGUUGCUUUACCGCCGCCUGUAUGACCAGCGCUUUGGCUGCAAUCGCAGCAAUCGAUGUGUUUACCAUCGUUGGUAUUUGUCUUCAGACUUGCUUCUAUUUACUUUUAUUCCCGUGAGCAGAGGGGGUUCCUCAGGGGCACGGAGGCAGGCUGGUGCUUCCAGCCGCGGUCUUCAAGAUCUUCAAACUACCGUUCCUGGACCACUGUGGCGGUGCCGGCAGCUCAGAGUGGCCUUGGAGAGGAAGAGUGAGGUUACACACAGCUUGUAAUCAAUUAAAGGUACAGGUGCAGAAUCAGUCCAUUCUCAGUGGAGUUAAAACAGAGGAGGGUACAGGCUGGCUGAUAUCCACAAAUAGACAACAAACCUCUAAUUGACUAUUGUGGGACCUCUGGGACUGAUUUAGACCUGAUAAAAAAAGCCAUAAUAGGAGACCUUUAAGGUUGCCCAGUGUGUUUGUGUUGUUAAUGUUGUACGCUUAAACUUGAAAACACGAACUAUUAAGAUGCUCAGUGACUCUACUCAUAACAGCCACAGUCGGUGUUAUAACCACGGGCUCUUUUUCAGUCAUCUCUGUAGCCUUCAGUAAAAACACCUGUCAUACGAGCUCAGAUGGGGGUCUCGUGCAUCAUGUUAGUUUGCAGGAAUGUAUUUCACACUCAUUGACAGUAAGAAGGGAGGUAAUUAUCAGCUAAGACUCUGCAGGCUGUGAAGCCAUCGCUCUAGACUUGAGUGCAUUCCUUUUGCUGGCACGUUUCUAUUUUUUCACAAGUAUUUUUCACAGCUGUUAACCUCCUCUUUGGCCAUUUGACUGCUGUUCACGGUCCCUUUAUUCAUGUUGUGAGUGCCACCACGAGGGGGCAUAAACUAGCAACACGGUGAGUCAAAUUGGCAAAGAAAUCUAUUUAGAGGGAAUAAAAGGAGGAGGAGGAAAGAGAGAUGUGAAGGAUCACCAUUUCAGUGGGGGGAAGGUUUUAGGGUGAGGGACUGAAAUUGUAAGUGAGAGAAAAGUUCCUCAGCAUGGCCGCAUCUUUGGACUAAAUUCAGCUUUACAGUUAGGGGACAUCUUCAAACACCCUCACGUGACAUUUUCACACAGUCCUUGUUUAUCUGUCACUUUCAAGAUGCUGUUUUGCAGAGGAAAGAUUCAAUACGGCUCACAUCUUUUACAAACAAGAGAUUUGAAUUACGGCCUCAAGUUUGCAGAGUGUGUUGAUCAGUCACUCAGGUUGAUAUUUCUUCUGCCUUCUACGUCAACCGAAUACUUGCGAGAAGUCAAGUUGUUCUUUCACCUUCACUCUCAGCAUGCUUUCUGUUUUCGUGUCCUUCAGUGCAGAUGGCUUCACCGCAAAGCCUGAUUUGGUUUGAAUGUGGACUGAUGUCAGAUUGGCACAGGAGGUGGUGUCAGCUGGGCAAUGAUAGAACAGCAAAGGACUUGUCACGAAAAAGCAUUCAUUGUUGUUAUCGGGUAAUUUAUUGUGCGGAUGUACUGAAGCCUUGCCAUGCCCUUCUGGGGACAUCGCCAUUCACGCUGAUAGGAUUGGCAACAAACUGCGACAGGUUUCACCGCUGACAGACACGCAGUGAAACACUUGAGACAGCCGGAACCGCCUCAAGUCACCUGGAUCCUGUUUACUGUGAGGCUCUCUUCUUUUCAUGUGAACAAAUAACAUAGGCAUAGCUGCUCAAGCACACAGGCACACGAAGAAACGCUGCUCUGUUUCAUUUCAUGUCUUGUAAUCCUGUGUAUGCUAGUAAGAGAAAACAGCCUUAAAGCAGGGCUUUUCUGGUCUUCUCACAGGUCAAAGCGCUUUAAUGCUACAUGUCACAUUCAUCUUUUUUAUAUACCCGUAGUAGCAGCUGUACAAAAUGCAAAGAUACCUAUCUAUUCAUGAUCUCAUCUCAUUUACAGCAAUUCAGGAGCAAUUUGGGUUGCCGAAAGAAAAAAAGCGCCCAGUUUUAGUUGUAAUUUAGUAACCAUUAUUGUAUAUGCAUGACUGGAGGUGGUCAGCGUCUCCCGUGAAGCUAUUAAGUCCAUCGAAAAUAAGACUCAGGGCUUCUGCUGCUAAAGUUUUGAUGGUCUGGACUGAUUUUAUAAAGUGGACUGUGCUUCUGUUACACGACCCAUUGAUUUAUGGACCACCUCCCUGAAGCCUCGCAUUCAUCAUCCUCAUUUUGCUUUUUCGGGGGAUAGCAGAGGUGGCCAUAUUUGGAUGAGAGAGGUAAGGACAUGCCCAUCGCCUCAAGUGUCCCCUGCUUCGCUGCCAGUUUUUUUUCCCGUCAUUUAUAAAGUCGACAUCAUGCUGGUAAAGACUGACUGAAAUCAUAAGAGAGGAAGGUUGAUGUUUUAAUCUGACUGUGAAUCGAAAUGUUCUCUUUAAUAUUAAUUUGUGCGCAAGGAGGCUGAUGAGAGCUAGACUGACCGUGGGAUCAGGGGGAGCUUUUUUAGCACCAUUUUUAAUCAAUAAAUCAUAAUUAAAUUAAUAUUCCAUUUCAACUUGUUUAUGCUUUUGUUGCUAGCUGCAUAAUAAGUGAGGCAAGACGCCUCUGCUUUGCAUCCUGGUCUCUGUUGGGAUUCAAAUGUGCAUAAUUGCCCUUUCAUUCUACAUUAUCCAUGACAUUAAAGGAUUAUUCCGGCGUAAAAUUGAGUUAGGAUCAAACACAGAGUUGGACACCCUGUCGAGAGAUGAAUGUUGCCGACCGCUUGCUUCUCUAGUUAUACCAAUUACAGUAAUGACCGCACGAUAGCAAUACACAGCAGUCUGAGGAGCCAUAAACAAACCUCAACCAAAACGCCACUCUAUAACCACAAAUAAUGCUCAGAACAGCACCUAACUUCAUCAACAGAACAUAUAGGGUCCCAGCCAUAGUACUAGUCACCAAACAUCUUUUUAGCUUUGCCUAAUUUCUUUAGCAAAGAGACUAAACACAACUCACCUACUCUCUUCCAGCAGUCGCUUGUUUGUGGGGGAGCCCUGACGAGUCGAUCACCAAGUGCAGAAGAGUUUCGCAGCUCAAGGAAGAAUAUUUAUGAUCACUUCAUGGAAAUGCAUAGAAGAAUGACCGUGUCUGCAGUGCAAAAAUGAUUAAUAUGAUGAUUAUUACUUCAAGGAAAUGAUAAAGAAAUGAUCAUAAAUUUUCUUCCUUGACCUGCAUCACCACGCUGCGUUACCACUCUGCAGGCGGUGACGGACUCGUCCAAGCUACGCCUACAAACAAGCGACUGCUGGAAGAGAGUGGGUGAGUUGUGUUCAGUCUCUUUGCUAAAGAAAUCAGGCAAAGCUAAAAAGAUGUUUGGUGGCUAGUACUAUGGCUGGGACCCUAUAUGUACUGUUGAUGAAGUUAGGUGCUGUUCUGAGCAUUAUUUGUGGUUAUAGAGUGGCGUUUUGGUUGAGCUGUGCGCCUGACUUCUGAGACUGCUGUGUAUUGCUAUCGUGCGGGCGUUACUAAUGUUGGUAUAACAAGAGAAGCAAACAGUCAGCAACAUUUAUCUCUCAAGGGGGUGUCUAAUUCGGUGUUAUGGUGUGUUUGACCCUAAUUUGAUUUUACGCCAGAAUAUCCCUUUAAGUUCAUAUUGCCACUGUUGCAGGUUGUGGUAAGAAACUUUUAUUAUUUUGUUGAUUUUAGGAUUUUUGCAUGCUUGUGCUUCUGGUUUUUAAUGUUAAUCAUUAAUAAGAGUAACUUAGCCAGACUAAAAAGAAAACUUUUAGAGGUAAUGUUUCAUCAGGGGAAAUGGUGCUCUUUAUGUAAAAAUCUUUCUGAGAAGCACAAAAAUUUGUAAUUCAAAAGUUAAAACCUUAAUAAAAAAAGAUCUAUUUUGGUAGGAUGACGCACAUCUUCCCAUUCAGCCCCUUUUUCUACUCUUACUACAACCAACACACUUCACUGUGUCCUUUCCUUUCAUGCACCAACCACGUCCCUGCACCUCUCACACACACACACUCGCACGUACAGACAACCUAUUGAUCCCCAAAGCAAUACUUAAAGGGACACAGGCACAAAUACACAAAAACAAAAACACACCCAUUGCACAUCCUUGUGCAUAUGUCUCCUCCUGCUAAACAAACAUGCAAAGUCGCACACUGACACACACACACACACACACACACACACUGCAGUCUUUUUAAAGACGGAGGAGAAGCCUCUUAAGUUCCAGCACAUUGCAUUUGCAAUGAGACCAGCGGGCAAUCAUCGCCCAUCUCCGCCAGUGAAAUGAGCCCAAAAUUGUGAGGAAAAGAAGGCCGUUUUGACAGGCAGGGUACAAAUACAAGGCGAUAGAAUCUCAAUGAGGCCUGAAAGAGGGAAUGCAUAAAUAGAUUAGAUUGAAGGGACUGGCGCCACACAGAAAGCAAAUCUAAUUAUGAGGCGGCUGUGUCUCCUGAUUUUCCAAUAGGGGGAAGCUCAUCUCUACCCAGCGGAACCUGCUGGAUCCACUCGGACAACAGAAGCCACUGAUGGAGAAAGAGACAGAGGGAGGGAAAGAAAGAUGGGGAUGAAUAUAUUUCAUUGUCGCACAGAAAAAUUUCCACACGCUCGGAUUUCAGCGUCACUUUAAAAGAGACAACUGUAAUGAAACUGGCAGAUGUUCAGGCUGCUCUGACUCUCUUUGUAAUCUUGAGAAGUCUGCAGAGGAAAAAACAACACAGCCAAUUAGGAUUUGUGUGAAAGCGCUGUCUGUUGUUGGUAAAACAGGGGGACAAAAUGAGACCCGUUUUUAUGUUCAAAUACCAACUUUAGACGGAACUUCACCCCUCAGAGAUCAGACUCCCACUGUGGGGUUUGGAUCCUCUGCAAAGUGGGUUAAUAGAUGUCACACUUCCCUCAUGCCUUCACUUAAACACAACUAUCUAGAUGGACUCUAUUUUCUUAAUCUGGAAAAAUACUGCCUGAUUGCGAUGUUUUAAAUCCAAAUGAAAAGUCACCUCACUGCAGGGAGCUGGAGAUAUAUGGCAAUUUAUUUUAGUGCUGGAUAUCACAAUUAAAAUUCAUUUUACAGUAAUUAUACUGAAUCAAAUUAAACAGAGCUGCUCCUCCAAGGGAAGUAUAAUGCAUGUAUGUAAUUGAAAUAUUCCAGCCUCGUAAUGGCUCACACAAUUAAAUAUGCAUUAGUAGAGCAGUGUCCCUAUCAGUCAUAGACAGAAUGGAGUGUUUCACUGUCGACAGCCACAGCCGCUCUUCAUUAGCUGUAGCACCGAGCUUGUUUAGGGGCCAAGUGAAAAUCUGCUUAAAGGCCACUGCUUUUAGAUAUUGUCUGUCAUAGUGCCAUAGCUAAUUAUAAAUGCUAAUGCAAUGAGUCGGACCGAAACACUCAAAAUGGCACAAUCAGCGCAGGGAGGGUUAUCUGUCUUAGUGAGAGUCCAUUUACAUCGCAGCAGGAAGCAGAAGAAACCACAGUACAGGAGGCAUUUUUUAACUCCACUUUAAAAAGCCGAAAAAAAAAAAAAACAGCAUUAAUAAGUCAAUCAGAGGCCAAACUGAAUUAAAACACAGGUUAACUCAAUUUGUUUGGGAGAACAUUGUUCAAGGUGCUAAUUAGCUUGUGCAAGCUGGAAGCUGGAGUCUCCUGGUGCAGUGUUGCAUGACCCCCCUGCAGCGACUAACUUCCCUUUAGCGAUUUGAAUUAUGGAAAAGAAACACACACACACACACACACGCGCGCGCAUUCGACAAAAGAAUAAUCACAGAGCACUUAUAUUAACUUCUGCUUGAUACUUCAAGGGUAUCAUAUAUAAUUCACUCGGAUACAAAAGAGGGGAAAAUGAAAAAUUGAUUUGUGGAAUAGGCUUUAGAUUUAUUCUUUCUUCUCCCAACAUUUGCCUUUUUCUCUGCAUGUGAGGAAGAUAAAAGAAGAACACAAAGAAGAUGGGAGUUUUAUGAAGCAGUAUGCAUCGACUGAGGCCAGUGUGUUGGCGAAACUUUGCAAUGGUCACCUGCAGACAUCCAUCACAGUCUUUCUCAUGAAUACACCCACAGUUCACUCAAACCCUCCGUGUGUCAUGUGCCAUCUCCACCACUCUUCAUCUUUGUUAUCUCCAUACAGUCCCAUCUCGCAUCAAGUCAGUCGGGCGAAAUGUCCACGUGACCUCUGACCUCUCCUUUACCUUCCACAACCGUCCCCAGAUGGCUCAUUUGGGCCGUGCAUUCGGCUACGACCUCCAACACGCUCCCUACCCACGCUCCCACAAGUGCUGUCGGCAGUGAUAGAGUGGCUAGCUGGGAGGUGUAGUCCGGUCAUCCAGGGUGCGGCGUGUCCACCGGGGUGGGUGAGUGAUCAGCGGCCUGAGGUCUGCCAGGCAGCAGGUGGAGUCAGUGACUUUGUUGUUUGGUCAGCGCUGCAGCUCUGACCUUCAAACCAGCUCUAUCAUUCAAAUUUGUUCCCAAACACUGCGCUCAUAAACACUUUCUCCUGUCGUCAUUAGCGUUUCAAGGCCAAAAUUAAACAACAAACGAGUGUCAGAGCUGCUCCGGAGACCGUUUGUGGAUCAAGGGAAAGAAAACGGCUUUUGUUGUCAGCCUUUUCCCACAUAUCCGUGUUGUUCCGCUGCCUUCACAGCAUCGAACGAGCUAAAAUAUCUAUAUUCACAUCAUGCCCGAGCACUUUAUCAAAUCCAGUCAACUCUAUUGAAAGUCUAUCAGCUAUCCCACUGGUAUUGACUCGGGUUUUUGACAGUCGAAACGUAUAUUCAUCACAGAAUCCAUCAAUAGGAGCACCAUGGCGCUGCCUUUGUUUACAGGAAUCGCUUGUAUGUUUCUGUCUGUGAUAAUAACUUUGAUAGCUGUGUUGUUUGACUUAUUAUGUCUUGGUGGAGUAAUUUUUCACCUUGGUAUCGAUGGCUGUAAACACUGAUUUCACACACACUGUGUCUCAGCAUGAGUCCAAACUCCCCACAACUUUUCCACGCUUUUUUUUAUUUCCGUCACAUCAAUGCGGCACAAGAUGCGAGCAAAAAUGCCCCAGUUUACUGCAGGGGAAAUUAAAGACGGUAAAGCCUCCCUCAUUGUGAGUAUUAAUUAUGAUAAGCUUUCAAGCAAGGCACUCAAACCUGUUUAUGUUUGGGUUUAAGACCCUGGUUAUCCUAUUAUCCCUCCAGAUGUUGAUCCCUGUGCUGCAGCUGUGUGAAUCCAAAAGCGGGGCAUGCUGGAAAAGCCACGCAUGGUCAGUAAACCAUCCCUGCACAAAUAAAAAAGAGAGCAAGAGAACGUUAUCCUCGAUCAAGGAUAAGUCAAGCCGCCUGUCCCCCUCCUCCACAGCCUGGUGCUCAAAUCCAACACCAGCUCGCCAAAUAAGCCUUGAGCCUGCGCGCUAUUUCCCUGAGCCGUAGACCUUGACCCCAAGCCCCACGGGCCCAAAUACAUUCGCUCUGGCCGGGUAUCAUGACUACCGCCGCGGAGGCCCAGGCAGAUAAGACAUGAUGAAUGCAGAUUGUUUGCUAUGUGACAGACUCAUUCGUUUACAGUCGGAUGGAGCCUUCAGCAGGGGCAGCAGCAUGCAACCCUUCGUCUGAGAGGAUCCAAGGAAGGGAGAGAAGAAAAGAAAGGGAGGAUAAGAAAGGGAGGACAACAAAAAGGAGAGAAAAAAGAAGCAGAAAAGUGAGAAUUAGCCUCUGGCAAUUUGGCUUUAACUUGUAGAAAAAUGCAGGUUUAUUAUCAAAGUUGAGAUUCCAUUAAGUAUCCACAAAACGGAUAAAAAUCUAGAUUGUUUCCCCAGGCUAGCUUGCAGGCUUUGAGGACUUAGUUAAAAAGCUCUGGUGUCCAUAUUCAUGUUUUCACAUCAGCGUUAUGAGACCUUUAACUUUACAUUUGUCAAAUAAACAGAUCACCUGCAGUCAGUAAAUUCAUAGAAGUAGACGACACAUCUUCAUUUCCUCAAGUUAUAACAAAUGAAGCCCAAAUCCUGCACAAACAUGCUCUGCCGCAGACACAUCUACACACUUUGACAUCCAUUAGCACAUGUGUGGUUUAAAGAUAUUUGAAUAAUAAAUACGAUCAUCGUUGAAUAUACCUCAUACUUUCAAGCACCAUAGAAAGUAAUAACCACAAACAAAAAUAAUAAGAGGAAUAUUCAAAUUAAAUGACGAUCGUACCACGAUUCGACAUUCCCUUAAUUGACCUGCACACCUCCUCCCCUGUUCACCAUGCUCAGGUUAUGAAAAAUACUUCAUAAUUGGAAAUCCUGCCAUCCUUGAAUAAUUUAAGAUAAUGACAGCCUGAGUCACAUCCUGAGAUCUCGUAUAUGCACCUAUGAAGCACCACUGUGUCUGCAGCCUGGUCCCUUUCUAUUCUAGAGCCAAAAGAGAUUUAACUGGAUGAGCCAGAUUCACACCGGUGUUCAAUGAGGAACGCUGAAAGUGCUGCAUUUACAUUAGAUAAGAUAAGAGGAACUUAUCUGAUCGUAGAUGCAUUUGGCAUCAGAGCUGAUAUUCCUGUCACUUCUUACUGAUUAAAAGAACUUUUAGGAAAAUACAAAAAACAGCGACUAUGACUAUCCGCAGAGAAAAUAUGUUUAGAAAAGUUUAUUUGAUGUGUAUUUUAAUUGUGUAGUUUGACCCCUGAACGCAUACCACAACCAGUCAGCAGGGGGAGCUCUACAAGUUUUUGAUCUUCAGGAGUGUUUUCUUCAGAGGGUGUCGUCAGCAAAGUUAAAUGCUCUAGCUCAGCCAUACAUCACAAUAUAUCCUAUGCUUAUGGAGGGUACCAUCCUAAAUUCAUCCAUUCUUUGACAAAUUCCCCCAAAACAAAACUAUGUCUGUGUGACCACUGUCAUAGCCAAAAUGAUUCACCCAAUCCCUCCUUUUCAACUUCCCCCAAACCCUAAAAGAACACAAAAAUCCUCUUCAAAUUCUGUUACCAUAGCGGUGCCAUAGUCACCAUCCAACAGGAAGUAGUAUUUUGAAGGGCUUAUGCUGCGUUCCAGUUUCCUUGGAAGUCGGAUGUUGGAGCUGGGAAUGACGUUAUACCCGAGUUGACCGCGUUCCAGUUAAGUCGGAAAACCAAGAUGGAUGCUUAGAGUUACCCAUUGUUAGAAGUGCUGGGCUCCAAUUUGUUUUUCCUAAUGGAUGUGAAACGUCAUCGUCUGUCGGGUUAGGAUUAGGAUGAGGGUUAGGAGAUUCAGUAUUGUGAUAAUGUUCUGUAAUGUUCUGUUCAAUGCACAGAGCCGACAGCCCACGUUUGGCUUGAGCGUGUGAUGAUGUUUCCAGCUUUUCUUGCCAAUCAGAGGCGAAGGAGGCGGGUCUUUCCCCGAGCGUCCUACAAAAAAAAAAUAUUGCACACAGGACCAUAGAUCAGUGGGCAUGGCCUAAAUAGCACAACAAGCAAUACCAACAUUUGACCUACAAAGAUUUGACUUUCUAUACAACUCACUUACAAAACCGAUAUGAUAUUUUCUCUUUAGAUAUUAGAGCUUGAUUAGAUUAGAUGUAAACACUAAAGUCAAAAAGUCUUAUGGACACUUGCAUGGUAAUAUAUUGGCUUAAACUAAAUUUUAAUAAUCUCAGAUUUUUCUCAGGCUUUCUGUCGAGGUGCAAAUGUAAUUUAAGUUAGAAAAAAAGGGAAAAACACUCAUACAGGACACUGUGACACAGAAAAGCCAGAGAUGCAAGCUGAGCUGAGAGAGGCAGGGAGAUGAGUCCAUCUGUCCUGUCCGACAGGUAAGAAGAAGAAAGGAAGGAACAGGAACAAAAGGAGCAAGAAAAGACGUAACAUUGUGAGUGAACAAAAGAGAGAGAUGAAAAAGAUGAAUCCAGCUUACUCUUGUGUUUUUAAUCUAGCAGUGUUUAUCACAUGCCUGUGGGAUUUAUGUCUCUCCACAGACAAAGCCCUGUCUGAUACUCUCCAUGGUAACUGAACGUGGUGACUAAUUUUAGGGUUGCAGUUUGGAUAACACUUCAGUUAUUAAACACCCAUCUGACAGCUCCCAUGCUGUGCCUCUCUGAACAGAAGAGGAAAUGUUUAACAUACUCGGCCGGGAGUUUAUUUGACAUAAUUCUUCUGCCAUGCGUACAGUGACUCUCCAGUUUUCACAGAUUGCUUAUUUGUUUGUUAAAUCCCAGAGAUUCACAAAUCUUUCUGGGCUUCACAUUUAAUGCCCGAGACAACAACGUUAAAGAAACCUCAAAAAGACUAUGGAAAUAUAAAAAGGGUCACUUGCACUCAAAGCUAAAGAGAUAUAUUCAAAUGAUCUAGUUUUCUGUAACUCCGCAGAGCGAUUCCUGCUACUUUUUCCCACUCAAACACAUGUUGGCUUCUAAUGAGGCAGCAGUGAAAAGUUGUUUUCAGCACAACAUAAAUCACAAUCAAUUUAAAAUAGGUGUAGUGUUAUUUAUUCAUGUAUAAUUGUGUUUUCCCCAUAGUAAACUGUCUCAUACGUUCACAUAGUAAUGGUUUGCUUUGUCACCUGCUUAGCCGAGCUAACUCGCUUCCCUCGCUACACUUGUUUGACUUUUUCUAUCCCAAAGCAUGUUCUGUUAAAGGUAGGGUAGGCAGGACACAAACAGACGCUCCUGCUCGCUCGAAUCGUUUCAAUUAAAUUCAGAUAUAAUGCAGAUAAAAACAGAUAAUAACAAGUGGGGCCCAGUCAACGUGAAAG